AUUGAACGCUGGCGGAAUGCUUUACACAUGCAAGUCGAACGGUAGAGGGGGCAACCCCUCGAGAGUGGCGAACGGGUGAGUAAUAUAUCGGAACGUGCCCAGUCGUGGGGGAUAACGUAGCGAAAGUUACGCUAAUACCGCAUACGAUCUAAGGAUGAAAGCGGGGGAUCGCAAGACCUCGCGCGAUUGGAGCGGCCGAUAUCAGAUUAGGUAGUUGGGGGGGAAAAGGCUCACCAAGCCAACGAUCUGUAGCUGGUCUGAGAGGACGACCAGCCACACUGGAACUGAGACACGGUCCAGACUCCUACGGGAGGCAGCAGUGGGGAAUUUUGGACAAUGGACGCAAGUCUGAUCCAGCCAUUCCGCGUGCAGGAUGAAGGCCCUCGGGUUGUAAACUGCUUUUGUACGGAACGAAAAGGUCUCUCUUAAUACGGGGGACUCAUGACGGUACCGUAAGAAUAAGCACCGGCUAACUACGUGCCAGCAGCCGCGGUAACAC
rnacentral:rRNA from 1 species